rnacentral:rRNA from 1 species
AGUGAACGCUGGCGGUAGGCCUAACACAUGCAAGUCGAACGGCAGCACAGUAAGAGCUUGCUCUUACGGGUGGCGAGUGGCGGACGGGUGAGGAAUACAUCGGAAUCUACUUUUUCGUGGGGGGUAACGUAGGGAAACUUACGCUAAUACCGCAUACGACCUACGGGUGAAAGCAGGGGAUCUUCGGACCUUGCGCGAUUGAAUGAGCCGAUGUCGGAUUAGCUAGUUGGCGGGGUAAAGGCCCACCAAGGCGACGAUCCGUAGCUGGUCUGGGAGGAUGAUCAGCCACACUGGAACUGAGACACGGUCCAGACUCCUACGGGAGGCAGCAGUGGGGAAUAUUGGACAAUGGGCGCAAGCCUGAUCCAGCCAUACCGCGUGGGUGAAGAAGGCCUUCGGGUUGUAAAGCCCUUUUGUUGGGAAAGAAAAGCAGCAGGUUAAUACCCCGCUGUUCUGACGGUACCCAAAGAAUAAGCACCGGCUAACUUCGUG